rnacentral:rRNA from 1 species
AUACGUAGGUGGCGAGCGUUGUCCGGAAUUACUGGGCGUAAAGGGUGCGUAGGCGGAUAAUCAAGUCAGAUGUGAAAGUCCAUGGCUUAACUGUGGGAGUGCAUUCGAGACUGAAGAUCUAGAGUGCAGGAGAGGGAAGCGGAAUUCCUAGUGUAGCGGUGAAAUGCGUGGAUAUUAGGAAGAACACCAGUGGCGAAGGCGGCUUUCUGGACUGUAACUGACGCCGAAGCACGAAAGCGUGGGGAGCAUACAGGAUUAGAUACCCUGGUAGUCCACGCCGUAAACGAUGAGUAUGAGGUGUAGGGGACGAUAGUCUUCUGUGCCGGAGCAAACGCAAUAAAUACUCCGCCUGGGGAGUACGGUCACAAGACUAAA